rnacentral:tRNA from 1 species
CCUCUCGUAGUUCAAUGGAUAAAAUACCUCCCUCCGAAGGAGGUGCUGCAGGUUCGAUUCCUGCCGAGAGGA